UACGUAGGGUGCAAGCGUUAAUCGGAAUUACUGGGCGUAAAGCGUGCGCAGGCGGUUUUGUAAGUCUGACGUGAAAUCCCCGGGCUCAACCUGGGAAUUGCGUUGGAGACUGCAAGGCUAGAAUCUGGCAGAGGGGGGUAGAAUUCCACGUGUAGCAGUGAAAUGCGUAGAGAUGUGGAGGAACACCGAUGGCGAAGGCAGCCCCCUGGGUCAAGAUUGACGCUCAUGCACGGAAGCGUGGGGAGCAAACAGG
rnacentral:rRNA from 1 species